UACAGAGGGUGCGAGCGUUGUUCGGAAUUAUUGGGCGUAAAGCGCACGUAGGCGGCUUUGCAAGUCGGAUGUGAAAGCCCUCGGCUCAACCAAGGAAGUGCAUCCGAAACUGCAGAGCUUGAGUACUUAAGAGGAUCGCGGAAUUCCCGGUGUAGAGGUGAAAUUCGUAGAUAUCGGGAGGAACACCAGUGGCGAAGGCGGCGAUCUGGGAAGGUACUGACGCUCAGGUUCGAAAGCGUGGGGAGCAAACAGG
rnacentral:rRNA from 1 species